rfam:Gossypium arboreum cultivar AKA8401 contig_70903_1, whole genome shotgun sequence.
UUAGCGGCGCUUUUAAGCGCCAUUAAAAUUACUCGCGGUGUUUUU